AUGGCAGAGAUUGUGAUUCUUCUAGCCAUUAGAAAGAUUGGAAUUGCUUUGGCAAAGGCAGCUGUAGACCAGGCCAGUGUACAGUUUGGAAAGUAUGGCACACAACUACUAGAACUACAGGGCAGUAUGGGCCGUGUUGGUAGGGAGCUUCGCAUAAUGCACGAGGUUCUAUGUCAGAUGGACAUUCGUAGUCGCAACAAUCAGGUAUAUAAGGUCUGGUUGGAGGAGGUACGCUUAGUAGCACAUGUGAUGGAGGACAUGGUGGAUGAGUACUUGUAUCUUGUUGGGCAGGAACAAGAUAUAGGUUGUUGUUUUGUUUUCUGA
rnacentral:rRNA from 1 species